AGAGCGAACGCUGGCGGCAUGCUUAACACAUGCAAGUCGCACGGUCAGGUUUCGGCCUGGUAGUGGCGGACGGGUGAGUAACGCGUAGGUAUCUAUCCGAAGGUGGGGGAUAACGGCGGGAAACUGCUGCUAAUACCGCAUAUGACCUGAGGGUCAAAGGUCGCAAGACCGCCUGUGGAGGAGCCUGCGUACGAUUAGCUUGUUGGUGGGGUAAGGGCCUACCAAGGCGACGAUCGUUAGCUGGUCUGAGAGGAUGAUCAGCCACAUUGGGACUGAGACACGGCCCAAACUCCUACGGGAGGCAGCAGUGGGGAAUAUUGGACAAUGGGGGCAACCCUGAUCCAGCAAUGCCGCGUGUGUGAAGAAGGUCUUCGGAUUGUAAAGCACUUUCGACGGGGACGAUGAUGACGGUACCCGUAUAAGAAGCCCCGGCUAACUUCGCGCCAGCAGCCGC
rnacentral:rRNA from 1 species